UACGAAGGGGGCUAGCGUUGCUCGGAAUCACUGGGCGUAAAGGGCGCGUAGGCGGCCAUUCAAGUCGGAGGUGAAAGCCCAGGGCUCAACCCUGGGAUUGCCUUCGAUACUGUUUGGCUAGAGACCGGAAGAGGUAAGUGGAACUGCGAGUGUAGAGGUGAAAUUCGUAGAUAUUCGCAAGAACACCAGUGGCGAAGGCGGCUUACUGGUCCGGUUCUGACGCUGAGGCGCGAAAGCGUGGGGAGCAAACAGG
rnacentral:rRNA from 1 species